GGCUGAAGUGAUGCGUUUCAUGUGGGGGUGGCUUGCCGAGCUGUUUGAGGCUUGUGUUUUUCGGUGUAGAUGUUUAGGACCUGAUUCUGUGUUUCUUGAACAGCUGCUUUACAAAAAAGUUUUUAGUAUACUUGCCAGUGUUUUUAGUAUACAUGUCUGUGUUUUUAGUAAACAUGUCUGUGUUUUUAGUAUACAUGUCUGUGUUUUUGUUUCAGUGGAGUUUUCCCAUAAGGUUAGGGUUGAUUGUAUAUGCUUGUGUGUACAUGUUUGCCUGAGAUGUGUAUGAGAUGUUUUGAAAUUGAAAUUAAAAGCCUUUAUGGUCAUUGUAUGUUCCUGUUGGUGCCACGAGGGACAACAUAUCACAACACAAAUACAAUAACUAACAAAUAACUAGUAGUUUAAUAAGUAGUAUGGAGUACAAGUACUCCCCCUGAGGUACAUUGCAAAAUAAGUAAUAGAUACACAUUAAUUAGGUGCCUGGGAUGGCAUAAGUGACUUGCAGUAGAAUAAAGUGACUGAAGUGUUAGUAUUGCACAUUGAAUUCCAGUUUUAGUGCAUGUCUGAGUUUAAUGAUUUGAUAGCUGUCGGGAAACUGUCCCUUAGACGCGUGGUCCUUGCCCUAGAGUACGCUUGUACGUUUGUGUAUAUGAGAUGUUGUGUGUACGUGUUUGUCUGAGAUGUGUGUACUUGUUUGUAUGUUUGCCUGAGAUGUUUGUGUGUAUGAGAUGUUGUGUGUACGUGUUUGCCUGAGCUGUGUACGAGAUGUGUGUACGUGUUUGCCUGAGAUGUGUAUGAGAUGUUGUGUGUAUGUGUUUGCCUGAGCUGUGUAUGAGAUGUGUGUGUGUUUGCCUGAGAUGUUUGUGUGUAUGAGAUGUUGUGUGUACGUGUUUGCCUGAGCUGUGUAUGAGAUGAUGUGUGUAUGUGUUUGCCUGAGCUGUGUAUGAGAUGUGUGUAUGUGUUUGCCUGAGAUGUUUGUGUGUAUGAGAUGUUGUGUGUACGUGUUUGCUUGAGAUGUGUAUGAGGUGAACCGUGCACUCCUGUGUGGUGCUGGAAGGCAUCUUUUAUAAGAGAAAUUCUCUAGAGAGAAAAAAAAAGGACACAACACAACUCCAUGAACUUCUCCUUGUUUAUGUUAAAAGGCAAGAGUACUUAAAACAAUUCCUCAGUGGAUACAUUUCAAUGGUCCAUGUUUAUGUACAAAAAUAAAUUACAUCUUACAUCAGUGUAGUGCUCUCUCUGUGUGUGUGUGUGUGUGAGCGUGUGUGUGUGUGUGUGUGUGGACACACACCUUCCCCAAGCUGCAUCCGCACUCCUAGGACACGGUGCCCACUGGCUCCUAACGGCACGCCGGUGCCGGGGGCCCGAGGGAGCACUCCAUUACGUCAACCUCACCAUGAAUCAACUCCUACAAGUCUAUUAUCGACAGCCGGGCCACGGCAGCGGCCGGGGCGGCCAUCUUACUCCUGUCUCCCUAGGUGAUUGAGUGGAGGGGUUUGCAGGGGGGGGGGGGGGGGGAAUCCAGAUCAUAUGGAUAAUGAAUAGAUUAAAACAACUUGGGACUAAUGACCUGCUUGUCACAUCACACCACCAUUUCACACACCAUUGACGGUAGCCUAAAGAAUAAAUAUCGACGCCUGACGGCCAGAGCUACAUCCAAAAAGAAAGCAUUCUGUACAAGAAUGGGUGCACAUGUUACCAAGGCAACAUCAUCAAGACAAUCAAUGUGGGUUUUUAUAAUGGCAACUCUGUCUAUCUCUAUAAUAACAUGGAAUAAUAGAAGAAGAAGAAAAAAGAGUUACAAUAUUGAUCAUAUGAACUGUUUCACAAACACUGUACAGGAAGGGGAAAAAAAAACCUACACUUCAAAGUGUUAUUCAUAUAUAGAUCUAUCUAUCUAUCUAUCUAUAAACCAUUAUACCAGCUACUCCUAAUUUUAAAUUCAGAACUUGGUAAUACAGCUAUAAACCGGUGUGCGCCUAGCCGAGUGUGCAUCACGUGCAUGCGUGAUGAUAGCAGUCAGACAGCAGAGGGAAACAGUAAACAUCGCUUGAUUUGGCAACAAGGGGCAAACCUUCUGGACUGCUGCACAUGGACCCGAGUUAGCACGCGCCUAGCCUGUGUCUCCAUCCAAGCUCUUCAGAGCUGUCAGCUUGACUGCAUUCACACACACACACACACACACACACACACACAAACCAGCCAUCAGGAGAGAAGCCUCUCUGACGUGGCUCAGGCUGCGCCUCACCCACACACACACACACACACACACACACACCUCCUCUUAGAACCCUUGCAGCUAAAUGGAAGUUAGCACCCCAGCUGCGCGUGCCGACCAGUGCUCCAUCACAAGCAGGUCCAGAUCAUCCUCUCUAACGUGGUGUACAUUCACAUCUUAUACACGGCUAAAAACAUACUAAAAUGUCAAUAAAUGGUCAAACAUAGACAUAGAUUGGAGUCCCACAGCAUGUGUGUGUGUGUGCGCGUGUGUUUGUGAGUGUGUGAGUGUGUGUGUGUGUGUGUGUGUGUGUGUGUAUAUGUUGGGAGCAGUAGAGGUCAGACUGCAGACGGAGUAAUUGGCAGUCUGUGUGAAUCUGGUUGCCGUGGCGCCCACACCUCACACUGAGCUGGAGGAGGCUGAAUGUCUCCCUGGUGAUCGCCGAUGGCGACCAUCGAUCGCGUGGACAAGGGACAUCGCCAUGACAGCGGGGACUCAGUGGGGGACUGAGACAGGGAGGGGAAUCCAGAUGAGUUCUAAGCUCCACUGUGUGUGUGUGUGUGUGUGUGUGUCACUCUGAUGAUGAUGAAAGUCUAAGAGGGCCCUGCAGAAGCCUUACGCUGUUUAAGUUUCAUUGACAGCAGCAAGUGUCUACCAUGCAUAAACGCAAAUAUAGUGGACUAACCCGCCCCCCCCGCCUCACAAAACAAAAGAAAUCAUUAAACGCUUUAAAAAAACCACCUUAAAAUCUAGAGUAGAGAAGAGAAGAUAAGAUAAGAGAGGAAGCUGCAUGCAUCUCCUGUCAGGCAUGCUCCUGUGUCUGUAGAGUAGAGUGAGUGUGUGCUCAAUACUAGUGUGUAAACGGUUGUGUCCGGUAGCAGUGUGUGUGUGUGUGUGUGUGUGUGUGUGUGUGUGUGUGUGUGUGUGUGUGUGUGUGUGUGUGUGUGUGUGUGUAGUCCAGGAGGAAGCUGAAGCGGGGUGGGGCUGCCUGUGCUGUUUCAGAUUCCAUGCUGCUCAUUACUGCAUUAAUCGUCUCCAUGGAGGAUGGAACUGCAUUAAUCGUCUCCAUGGAGGUCGGAACUGUCGUUUCUAUGGUGCUUAAACGGCCUAUGUUGUUUCCAUGGAGCUCGGAACUGUCGUUUCUAUGGUGGUUUAACUGCCUAUGUUGUUUCCAUGAAGGUGAACUGUCUGUCUGUGUUGUAUCCACGGAGACCGGAAACACAGGUGGAGUUACUAGUGCCUCUCUUCUGGUCCACGUCCACCUGUCUCCAGCAGUCCGCUCCAACACAGGUAAGAGUGUGUGUGUGUGUGUGUGUGUGUGUUCAUAUAUGUCUACUUGGACUUCUGCAUUAUAGUGAGUGUGGCUGUGUGUGCGUAUGUAUGUUUGUGAUGAUAAAGCAAAAGAAGUGAUUGAGAGGUUGGCUGGAAGGUAAUUCCACCCCUAUAAUGCUGAGGUUUUUGUGUGUGUGUGGGUGUGUGUGUGUGUGUGUGUGUGUGUGUGUGUGUGUGUGUGUGUCCAUUAAGUGAUACUGUAUGGGAUGUUGGUAGCUCUCUGCAUGUCUGUGGGAGAAAAACAAAAACAAAACACUCCAUCAACUGAGUCAGGCCUCAACCACAGCACACACACACACACACACACACACACACACACACACACACACACACACACACACACACACACACACACACACACACACACACACACACAAACCAGAGCCAUGACAUCAACACAAUAAUCCACACCUAGGUUAUACAAGAUUCACACACAGUUAAAAAAUAACACACAGUUACAAAACAACACACACGCAGCUAGGAAUGUUCCAGCCAGUCAGUCACUCCGACUGUAGACAUGUGCUCAGGUCCGUCAGUCACUCCGACUGUAGACAUGUGCUCAGGUCCGUCAGUCAGUCCGACUGUAGACAUGUGCUCAGGUCUGUCAGUCCGUCAGUCAGUCCGACUGUAGACAUGUGCUCAGGUCCGUCAGUCAGUCCGACUGUAGACAUGUGCUCAGGUAAGUCACUCCGACUGUAGACAUGUGCUCAGGUCCGUCAGUCAGUCCGACUGUAGACAUGUGUCUCUGUUUGACACAAUUAGACUCUUUUCUACUCCUCAGGUCCUGACUUCCAUCUCUAUCAGGAUUUCCGUUAGACAGUAAUUACCGUUUUUUUUAGGAAAAUGGUUUUAAAUUCAAAUUAAAAUAAUAAAUUAUAACCUGGUCAAAAUGUCCUUCCAUAAUGCCAAAAUGCAAUAAUGGUAAUAAUGCUCAUACAAAAUGUAUCCUUAAACAACCAAAGCAAAUCAAUCAAUAACGGAACUAUAUCUUAUUGUUUUAUAGACUAUAUAGAUUUGACAGAAUUAUAGAUAAAAAUCCUAGCAACCCUUAUCUGAAUCCCUGGAAACCUUAACCUGUCUGAAGUCCUUUAAGUCUCAGACUGUGUGAGGGCUCUUGACACACACACACACACACAC
ensembl:lncRNA